rnacentral:tRNA from 6 species
GCCCAGGUGGCGGAAUUGGUAGACGCGCACGGUUCAGGUCCGUGUGUCUCACGACGUGGAGGUUCGAGUCCUCUCCUGGGCACCA